GACGAACGUUGGCGGCGUGCUUAAUACAUGCAAGUCAACUGAAGCAGUGGUAGCAAUAUCGCUGUGGAGGUGGCGCACGGGUGAGUAACACGUAGGUAAUCUGCCUUCAGGUCUGGCAUAACUCCGGGAAACCGGGGCUAAUAGCAGAUGAUGCAGCGGCUCGACAUCGUGACAGUGGUUAAAGUUAUGGCGCCUGAAGAUGAGCCUGCGCCUGAUUAGCUAGUUGGCGGGGUAACGGCCCACCAAGGCAACGAUCAGUAGCUGGUCUGAGAGGAUGAUCAGCCAGACAGGAACUGAGACCAGGUCCAGACUCAGACGGGAGGCAGCAGUAAGGAAUAGUGCGCAAUGGGGGAAAUCGUGAAGCAGCAACGCGGCGUGAGGGACGAAGGGCUUUUGCUUGUAAACCUCUGUAGGGAGAGAAAAAAAUCCCAAUCUUUGGGACAUGAUGGUAUCUCAAAAGUAAGCCCCGGCUAACUACGUG
rnacentral:rRNA from 1 species